AUUUGAUGUAAACAUAUGAUGUACAUAUAGUCUAGUAACCUUCUAAUAUGCACUUGAGAUUUUCUUAUAUAUAUCAAUUACAACGUUUUCCUACCUUCCAAGCUUCUCAUCAUGUGGAUUUUCGACAAUAGUAAUUUUUCCUAUGGGUGUCAAUUAAAUAGUUUCGAAAUAAACACAGAAUCGGUAACUAUGGAAACCGGUAAAUCGUUAUAACAGGCUGUCACUCAGGAUUUUGACAUUCUCUUUCAAAGAAGUUAGACGAACUAAAAUUUCAUGUUUUUUUUCUGGAUGUCUAACAGAGGAAGGAUGUGCGAAUUUAAAGGAAGAGACAUAGUCAAAAGUCAAACCUGUCAUUCUUGACGUAUUAAAAACAGAAAGCAUCGAAACGGCUUUUGAAUUCGUUCAAUUGACUUUGCCCAAAAAUGCAGACGCGAAUUAUACAAAAGAGGGGUUACUGUUCAUAUAAUUGAACCUGGAUGUUUUAAAACUAGUACAACAUAUCCCGAUGUCAUCUGUAACGCUAUAAUAGAUGAUCACUAUGAC